GAGGCUUCGGCAAUGGGGGAAACCCUGACCGAGCGACGCCGCGUGAAGGAUGAAGGCCCUUGGGUUGUAAACUUCUUUUGUUGGGGAAGAAAUGCGACCAGGUGAACAAUCUAGUCGUUUGACGGUACCCGACGAAUAAGCUCCGGCUAACUCCGUGCCCGCAGCCGCGGUAACACGGGGGGAGCAAGCGUUGUUCGGAAUCACUGGGCGUAAAGGGCGUGUAGGCGGUCAGGUAAGUGGGAUGUGAAAUCCCUCGGCUCACCCGAGGACCUGCAUCCCAUACUGCUUGGCUUGAGUACGGGAGAGGAUGGAGGAAUUCCUGGUGUAGCGGUGAAAUGCGUAGAUAUCAGGAGGAACACCGGUGGCGAAGGCGUCCAUCUGGCCCGAUACUGACGCUGAGGCGCGAAAGCUAGGGUAGCAAACGGG
rnacentral:rRNA from 1 species